rnacentral:rRNA from 1 species
UACAGAGGGUGCGAGCGUUAAUCGGAAUUACUGGGCGUAAAGGGUGCGCAGGCGGCCGAGUGUGUGAGGCGUGAAAGCCCGGGGCUUAACCCCGGAAUUGCACCUCAAACUACACGGCUAGAGCAUUGGAGAGGGUAGCAGAAUUCAUGGUGUAGCAGUGAAAUGCGUAGAUAUCGGGAGGAACACCUGUGGCGAAAGCGGCGCACUGGACCAUAACUGACGCUGAUGCGCGAAAGCUAGGGGAGCAAACAGG